AUCUCCUUUCAGAGCUCUGAUAAGCCAUUCACCUGAUCGCUGCUGCUGUACCUGUCUGCCUCACAGCUCUGAUGAACCCCUCAGUACAUCGUUAUCCAGGAACAGUGGCACUGAACAACUGCCCUGAACCACUGCCCAGCAGCCCAGAGCUGUGGGAGCAGCUGGGUGCCCACCUUGCCACGUCCUGGAGACCAGGCUGCCCAGACAUGUGGAGCUGCUGUGCUCCCAGCGCUGCAGAUGCUGGCACAGCCAUUCUGCCCAGACAGCAUCUGAGCCGAGCUGCAGUUGAAAUGGAGAAGCAAAUUGCUUGAGGAAGUGUUUGUAUGAAUUUAAUGCACAGCAGGGAGAUGGAAACUAUCCUUCCACUGUUGGUAAGUAUCCCUGAACACUGUACUGAAAGUUUGCUCUCUCCAGUGUAAAAGGGAGCUGGGAACCUUUGCCAAGAAGGGUUAAUUGAGGCUGUUUGGCCGAGGCAUUACCUGAUCACCAUCACUAAUCUCAGUGUAUGGGAAAGAGACGGAGAUUGCUGCAGCAGAUUUAUUGUGCCAUGUGAUUUGCCCGUGCUCUGUUUUGAUUCUAGAUCAAACACAGAAUCUUCUGAACUUCCAGGAAUGGCCUUGCAGGGAACUGUCUUUGUGUUUGUGCUGGGGGACGUCCAGGUGAUAUCUGCUGCUUUAGACGCUCCGUGCUUUCCUCCCGUGUCACCUUCGGACACUUGAAACACUCGGACUUGGCUGCUGUGUUUGUGCUUUAGAUAAGCUCUCCAAGUCAGCUGAUGGAGGGUAGAUGUCAGUGAGGUGAAUGGCAGUGGUGUGGGAAGGCAGCUUGGUUUGGAAACCAAAGCUCUGUUUAAGUGCUCUCAGACCUGGCAGCGUUCUGGUCUGCUGUCGUGUGAACCGGACAGCUUUCUCUGCUUGUACACGAAUGAUGCAAAAUCACUUGGCUCUCAGAAAGGAGCUUUGUCUGCCGGCAGUGACAGGGCACAGGAAGGAGGAGAAAGGGAAGCUGGGACCUACUUGAGGUGAUGGAAGUCGUGGAAUUCUGGCGAUGGCAGGAAGGGCAGGUGGUAACCGCAGUGCGAAAUGCUUGUUGUUACAAGAGCAAGGGAGAACCACGCUGCGAUUACAGCCACGUGAGACCCCAUGAGCAUCGGGCCAGUCAUGACAGGCAGCGUGUUGGAGAGCUGGAAGAGAGAAGUAAACCACCUCAUUAAUGGGACCACGACGAGCAGGCUGUCCUCUAGGAGCUGGAUUGUUUCACUUGGGUCUAUUAGUUUUGUGCAAGCAGCACAAAGGACAGAUCCCUCUGAAAAUACCUUACCAAAACUACACAAUCAUCAAGAUACAAUUCAACUCUGAGCCAACAAUACAGUCAAUGCCCCAGAUCCCUAAACUUGCAAUAAAAGGUGUGAGAUCAAACCAGGGCUAUGAGGGCAGCAGGAUUCCAGCAGCUCACCCUGGAGUCAGAGGGGAGAUUUUCAGCAUCACCUUGGAAUACUGCUGAAACUGCUCUUGGGAAAGCAAGCUGUAAAAAGGUUCCAAGUCCACGUGAUGUGUGGACACGUGCAGCAAUGUGAUGAUCCCAGCUGUGUCGAUUCAUUGUGCCCUCCCGGUGGCACAAAUAGCUAUCAGUGCCCAGAUCACAAGCUUACUGCAUCGAAAAGUCAUUCUGAUAAGCCAAAGUCUGUCAGAGGGAGACUCACGGAGCUGCUGUAGCAGCCGAGGCCUCUUAUUAACAGGAGAUGGUAUUUAGAAGUGGAAGCUCUGUUCUCAAGGAAACACCAUUCAGACUUUUCUUGAUCUACCGGAGGCCCUUGGAUUUGUGCUCUUACAACUAGUGAAGUGCAGUACAGACAGUCACUGCAGCACUUCUACAGCUUGGCUUCCUGGAAAUGCAGCUUAGCUUUCCCUUCUGAGAAAGAAGAUUCCAAGGAAGCAUUUGCUUUGCAUCUCUUCCCACCGCUCCUCAUCCCAUGGAGACCCCACUCCGUGCAGGAAGCGGAAGGUGACCAUGGGAGAAUCCACUUACUAUGUGUUCUAAUGGGUGAGCGUAAAUGGAGACCACACCAAUGGGGGCUGUCCAUUCAUGGUGCUUCUUGUGGAUGUGCUUGUACAGGAGUGGGAGAUGAACAAGCCUAAGUAAAGAGAACAAAGAAAUGUACUUCUGCACCCCAUAAGAAAGGAAUGUGGAAUAACAGAACAUCCCCCACAGACUUGCUUGUGCCCAUCUAAAACAGACCUCAGAGCCGGGAAUGGCAGUGUAGGAUCCGUGGUUUCCUCUCGUUAAGCACUCAGCCCUCAUCCAAUGGUUUCACUGUCUGUUGGUUGAUGUUAAACUUAAGUUCUGAUACAUGCCAUAAAAUCAGGUCUAUGAAAGGCUGAUUUGCUCAGCUUUGGGAGUACGUUUUAGUAAAAGACUCAUUUCCUAUUUUCACUAUUCUGACUUUUCCGACUGGCAACGAUUAGGGACAGGAUUUUAGGUUUCCUGGGCCCUUAGUAAGAAAUGGCCUCUUGUGUUUUCUUUUCCCAUUGCCCCAAAGGGAGAUCUGUGUAUUUCUGAGAACGCACUGCUUGCUUCUGCUCGGUCUUGCAGGCUUUUUCCUUUCUUGCUUCAAUUUUAUCCUCCACUGCUGGAGUCACUGCCCAGAAAGCCUGUAGUGUUGGGAGCUGGGCCGUGUUUUGUAGGUGCUGUUCGUGUGAAGAGGACAUCAGUCACUGAAUUCUUACGCUUUUUUCUUUCAGGAUAGUCCCAUCCUCCUCUUUGCAAAGAAAAAAGCUGUUGUUCUCUUCCUAAGCUGCCACUUCUGGAGUUUUUUUUGCUCGCUGUAGUUCCUAGCAGCAUUGCAGCAGCUAAGCCUCGAGCAGUAAGGAUGGGUUAAAUACAAGAGUGAUGGAAGAGGGUGCACCAGGACCAUUGCUGUUACAAGAGAUGGGCAUAAGCUUAACAGCAUGGGCACAAACCAGAGUCCUGUGUUCUGUGCUCAGCUCACCUGUGUGAAUAAUAGAAGAGGAUUUCCUCUAUUAAGGUAAAGAUGCUCAGCUCCAUAAGAAACCACUGGAAAGUGGGUAAUUCCUUGCUGAAGGUGUUGCCCCACCAUUUCAUUACAUAGAACAUGGGCACGAGCAUGGGAAAGGAGAUAAAGAACUGAUUAAACAGCGCUGUGUGGAUGGCUUGUCGCAAUUUCUGUGUGUCCACCUGCAAAAAAGAAGUCAGGAUUCCAGGCUAUAUCAGAAGCACUGUGACUCUGAGUUGGAAGGACAAAGAGCUUUAAGAUUUGUUGGCUGCUUUUGUUAAUUAGCUGUAGGAUCAAUUGGUUAACAAGCAGGAUAACAAGAUCUGAUCAUAUUCCUAAUUACAAGAAUUGCCUUCAUCUGCAGUAGACAUACAAUACUUAGCUUGAUUCUUCUUGGAUCCUAUCUGGUUGGAAGAGAAAAGCAUAAGUGGUUCUUCUCCCCUUUCCUGAACUAACAGACUGCAGGAAGUAUUGGCUAGCAGAAGCAGCACACAGAAAUACUUACAGGAUCGUUCUUGCCCAGCUGAAUGCGAUACCGAGUAAUGAAGGUUGGCUUUCCUGUUACAUCAGCCACCAUAAGGAUUCCAUUGAAGCACCAAAAAGCAAGGCUAGGAACCAGUGCAGCCCCUGUGACGUGAGGAAGAGACAGAUACUUAAAUAGCUCGGGAGCUAUGGACAGAUUAAAAAAUACAAUGGAGUAGCAUCCAGAGGACUUCACUAGGAGCUACGUGUGAUGCUUUAAAAUGGAAUCUGAGUAGGUUCUGAAACCCAGUUGAGACCUUGGGAAUGGUGAGGAGGUUAAACUGCAUCAGUGCCCCAUAGGCUAGAAUUUGGCAAAACUGGGGGCUUUUCUGGGAGGCUGUGGAACUACCUCACGGCUGACAUUUAAAUACACAUGGGAUAAGGUUGAGUUGAUCCUUGGGACCUUGCAACAUCCCUGCCGAGCCUGUUCACCAACAGUUAAUUGCAGAUGGAGAAGGGUUGUGUAGGUACUACAGCAAGCGUAAAAUUCACUGAUUUUACUCUGACUUUCAGAAAUUAGUUCUACUGAGUCACUCAUUUCUCACAGCAGCAAAGAGCGCAUCUACAUAGGGAAGCGAUUUCUGUGCUUUCAGCAGCAGCAGCAAGAUAGAUUUUUAACCUGUGUAAUGGGUCCAGUGAGGAACCACUCCAAAGGCAGCGUGGUUGUGCUGUCAGCUGUAGCUGCCAUGAAGGCUGCGUGUGCUUUUCAGUGCGGGAAGUGGUGGGUUGAGGAUGGCACAUCCGUGUUCCAUUUCAGAUGCACUGCACGAAUGGUUCCUCGCACAGCAAAGGGUUGUUAACCUGAGGAACUCACCGAAGAGGAAAAGCGACCAUUCCCUUCCCUCAAACAGGUCGUAAAGCUUCAGCCAUGUUGUCUGCCAGAAGUAGCCCGAAGUAUCCCAGAUCUUUUGCACAUACC